UCUUUUUAAAAAAGCAAACGAGCAAAAGAAAGUUGUAGAAGGUUUGUGAAGGGAAGUCCUUGGAAACGAAUUUUAGGUGUGGUCAGAAUGGACUAAAAU